UACGUAGGGCGCAAGCGUUGUCCGGAAUUAUUGGGCGUAAAGAGCUCGUAGGCGGUCUGUUACGUCCGCUGUGAAAACCCAGGGCUUAACCCUGGGCUUGCAGUGGAUACGGGUAGACUAGAGGCAGGUAGGGGAGAAUGGAAUUCCCGGUGUAGCGGUGAAAUGCGCAGAUAUCAGGAGGAACACCGAUGGCGAAGGCAGGUCUCUGGGCCAUAACUGACGCUGAGAAGCGAAAGCAUGGGGAGCGAACAGG
rnacentral:rRNA from 1 species